AGAAAUGAACGGACCUUUCCAGCCUGAUGCUAUAAGGUUUCAGUGGGGCUGGCGUACAACCCUGCUCACAGAACAGUACAUUGUACAUCCUGUGCUGAAGAGUUAAUUUCCCUGCUAGCUGCUCUGCCACACCUAAGGCGAACUUUCUCCCCAAGCAGCAGGAGUCAGAGGCUGCACCCAGAGGUGAGUGAAGCAUCAGCUGGUACCCUCAGGUGAAGUUUCAUGUUACACUGAAUUUGGGAGACUGCAUGUGUAUCUGCCACAGUGGCAC
rnacentral:lncRNA from 1 species